UUUAGUCAGGCAACGAGCGAGACCCCUGCCUUUAGUUGCUACUUUUACUCUUAGGAGUAGAAGGGCUAAUUAGAAGGACUGCCGCCGCUGAGACGGAGGAAGGAGGGGGCUACGGCAGGUCAGUAUGCCCCGAAACCCUCGGGCCACACGCGGGCUGCGAAUGGUAAGUACGAAUAGGUUCCGAUUCCGAAAAGGAGGAGGCAAAUCCGCUAAACCUUACCUCAGUUAUGAUUGAGGGCUGAAAACUCGUCCUCAAUGAAAGAAGGAUCCCUAGUAAUCGCGUGUCAUCAUCGCGCGGUGAAUACG
rnacentral:rRNA from 1 species